GGGUUGUGAGGUUAAGCGACUAAGCGUACACGGUGGAUGCCCUGGCAGUCAGAGGCGAUGAAGGGCGUGCUAAUCUGCGAUAAGCGCCGGUAAGGUGAUAUGAACCGUUAUAACCGGCGAUACCCGAAUGGGGAAACCCAGUGUGACUCGUCACACUAUCAUUAACUGAAUCCAUAGGUUAAUGAGGCGAACCGGGGGAACUGAAACAUCUAAGUACCCCGAGGAAAAGAAAUCAACCGAGAUUCCCCCAGUAGCGGCGAGCGAACGGGGAGGAGCCCAGAGCCUGAAUCAGCAUGUGUGUUAGUGGAAGCGUCUGGAAAGGCGCGCGAUACAGGGUGACAGCCCCGUACACAAAAGCGCAUGUGCUGUGAGCUCGAUGAGUAGGGCGGGACACGUGGUAUCCUGUCUGAAUAUGGGGGGACCAUCCUCCAAGGCUAAAUACUCCUGACUGACCGAUAGUGAACCAGUACCGUGAGGGAAAGGCGAAAAGAACCCCGGCGAGGGGAGUGAAAAAGAACCUGAAACCGUGUACGUACAAGCAGUGGGAGCACAGGUUUACCUGUGUGACUGCGUACCUUUUGUAUAAUGGGUCAGCGACUUAUAUUCUGUAGCAAGGUUAACCGCAUAGGGGAGCCGGAGGGAAACCGAGUCUUAAUUGGGCGUUAAGUUGCAGGGUAUAGACCCGAAACCCGGUGAUCUAGCCAUGGGCAGGUUGAAGGUUGGGUAACACUAACUGGAGGACCGAACCGACUAAUGUUGAAAAAUUAGCGGAUGACCUGUGGCUGGGGGUGAAAGGCCAAUCAAACCGGGAGAUAGCUGGUUCUCCCCGAAAGCUAUUUAGGUAGCGCCUCGUGAAUUCAUCUCCGGGGGUAGAGCACUGUUUCGGCUAGGGGGCCAUCCCGGCUUACCAACCCGAUGCAAACUGCGAAUACCGGAGAAUGUUAUCACGGGAGACACACGGCGGGUGCUAACGUCCGUCGUGAAGAGGGAAACAACCCAGACCGCCAGCUAAGGUCCCAAAGUCAUGGUUAAGUGGGAAACGAUGUGGGAAGGCCCAGACAGCCAGGAUGUUGGCUUAGAAGCAGCCAUCAUUUAAAGAAAGCGUAAUAGCUCACUGGUCGAGUCGGCCUGCGCGGAAGAUGUAACGGGGCUAAACCAUGCACCGAAGCUGCGGCAGCGAACGUAUCACCCAAGACAACUUUGCGGAGUUGACGAUUGACGGAGCGAAGCGACGUCAAAGCGUUCAUUAAAGUCGAGUUGGCUUAGGGAUACGUUCGUUGGGUAGGGGAGCGUUCUGUAAGCCUGUGAAGGUGGCCUGUGAGGGUUGCUGGAGGUAUCAGAAGUGCGAAUGCUGACAUAAGUAACGAUAAAGCGGGUGAAAAGCCCGCUCGCCGGAAGACCAAGGGUUCCUGUCCAACGUUAAUCGGGGCAGGGUGAGUCGACCCCUAAGGCGAGGCCGAAAGGCGUAGUCGAUGGGAAACGGGUUAAUAUUCCCGUACUUGGUGUUACUGCGAAGGGGGGACGGAGAAGGCUAUGUUGGCCGGGCGACGGUUGUCCCGGUUUAAGCGUGUAGGUGUGUGUUCCAGGUAAAUCCGGUUCACUUUAACACUGAGGCGUGACGACGAGGCACUACGGUGCUGAAGCAACAAAUGCCCUGCUUCCAGGAAAAGCCUCUAAGCAUCAGGUAACAUCAAAUCGUACCCCAAACCGACACAGGUGGUCAGGUAGAGAAUACCAAGGCGCUUGAGAGAACUCGGGUGAAGGAACUAGGCAAAAUGGUGCCGUAACUUCGGGAGAAGGCACGCUGACACGUAGGUGAAGUGAUUUACUCAUGGAGCUGAAGUCAGUCGAAGAUACCAGCUGGCUGCAACUGUUUAUUAAAAACACAGCACUGUGCAAACACGAAAGUGGACGUAUACGGUGUGACGCCUGCCCGGUGCCGGAAGGUUAAUUGAUGGGGUCAGCGCAAGCGAAGCUCCUGAUCGAAGCCCCGGUAAACGGCGGCCGUAACUAUAACGGUCCUAAGGUAGCGAAAUUCCUUGUCGGGUAAGUUCCGACCUGCACGAAUGGCGUAAUGAUGGCCAGGCUGUCUCCACCCGAGACUCAGUGAAAUUGAACUCGCUGUGAAGAUGCAGUGUACCCGCGGCAAGACGGAAAGACCCCGUGAACCUUUACUAUAGCUUGACACUGAACAUUGAGCCUUGAUGUGUAGGAUAGGUGGGAGGCUUUGAAGUGUGGACGCCAGUCUGCAUGGAGCCGACCUUGAAAUACCACCCUUUAAUGUUUGAUGUUCUAACGUGGACCCGUAAUCCGGGUUGCGGACAGUGUCUGGUGGGUAGUUUGACUGGGGCGGUCUCCUCCUAAAGAGUAACGGAGGAGCACGAAGGUUGGCUAAUCCUGGUCGGACAUCAGGAGGUUAGUGCAAUGGCAUAAGCCAGCUUGACUGCGAGCGUGACGGCGCGAGCAGGUGCGAAAGCAGGUCAUAGUGAUCCGGUGGUUCUGAAUGGAAGGGCCAUCGCUCAACGGAUAAAAGGUACUCCGGGGAUAACAGGCUGAUACCGCCCAAGAGUUCAUAUCGACGGCGGUGUUUGGCACCUCGAUGUCGGCUCAUCACAUCCUGGGGCUGAAGUAGGUCCCAAGGGUAUGGCUGUUCGCCAUUUAAAGUGGUACGCGAGCUGGGUUUAGAACGUCGUGAGACAGUUCGGUCCCUAUCUGCCGUGGGCGCUGGAGAACUGAGGGGGGCUGCUCCUAGUACGAGAGGACCGGAGUGGACGCAUCACUGGUGUUCGGGUUGUCAUGCCAAUGGCACUGCCCGGUAGCUAAAUGCGGAAGAGAUAAGUGCUGAAAGCAUCUAAGCACGAAACUUGCCCCGAGAUGAGUUCUCCCUGAGACUUUAGGUCUCCUGAAGGAACGUUGAAGACGACGACGUUGAUAGGCCGGGUGUGUAAGCGCAGCGAUGCGUUGAGCUAACCGGUACUAAUGAACCGUGAGGCUUAACCUUACAACGCCGAAG
rnacentral:rRNA from 2 species